AAGAAAUCUGGCUAUGUUAAUAGAGAUUCUUUACAGACGCAAAUUUUCCCCCAUAAAGAACAGCUUCGCAGGGCCAUUCCAAGAAACAUGUGUUGGGCUUCUUGCCUGAAGGCAGCAAGAUCCCAGUUGGCACCUCCCAGGGCAUCUUGAAAUCAAAUAGAAACUUGCAGUCUUACUGGCUUGGGGAAAUCAAAGGAUAAAACUCAGAGCUAUCACCACAGCUGAAAAGUGCUGAGAGAAAGCAUUAAAAGGAGAGAGCCAUGGAAGAGGAGCUCCAAAUUCAGAAUAUAAACUCUGUAAAUCUCUCAACGCCCCUGAACUAUGCAUGUAUGAGACAGACUUCAAGCAGCCUAUGUAAGACUAAAAGAAUUAGACAAAAUGUCA
rnacentral:lncRNA from 10 species